GCUCUUCCUUUGAAUGAGGCCACAUACAAUGUAAAGAAACAAAGGUUAAAGGAUGGGACACCAUGCCCUAACCCAUUGCUCGAGUGGGCAUGUCAUGUGCUAUCUUCCCUUCAUCAGCUGCUUCAGAUAUUUGACUCUGCAUGAAAAGGACUGGCCUAAAAGGUGGCAAUCUAUCUUACUGUAAACUGAGUUUUUAUCAGGUAUAUUUCUUGUCUAAUAAUGUUAUGGUUAUGUGUGUUUUUUCUUUUUUGAUAACAAUUAUCUUCAUGAGCCUGACUUGCUUAGUUGUUUUGUAAUUACUGUAAAUAGAAAUUUGAUACUGGGUUAAUGACUAUUUUUCUUCAAACUCUCAUAAUCUAGAGACUGUGACUGUGAUAAGAUCUUGACUCUUGGAUUUAUUGAUUAUGACGAGUUUAAAGGAAGCUUUGAACUCCUGUGUUAAUUGAGGAAUGUUAAUUUUACUCUCUGGGUCUUUGGAGUUUCCAAGCUAUUCCAAAGAAUGAUUGGUUCAGCCUAAUUGGAGUAUACCUCUGGUGAUGCCACAAAGAGUACGACAAAUUUGAAAGCGUUUUGAAAAUGAAAAUUUUAGUACCGACGGACUUAGUCGGGCUAAGAUUUAAAAACUCGAGUUUUCUCUCUUUAUUUACAAUAACUAAACAAAUUCUAUGCGUAAAGUGUUGACUAACUAUUUCAGUCGGUUAUCCGAAAUUUCUAACUAUAUAUGUAAACAGACUUAGAGACUACAUUCUUUCCCCAUCAAUGACUAAUUGGUAAACUGUGUUUUCAAGAGAGAAAACGCUUAAAACACUUCGAUUAUAACUACGAAUCAAUUUGAUCUGUAUAGCUUCACUAUUCUAUUAAAUUCUGAAAAUUCCUGAUUUACCCACACCUCUUUUAUUCUUUUCCCCUCCAAUGGACCUCAAAAGGGCAUCACGGUUUACUGUUUUCUGCUACAGCACUGGAGAGAUCGCUAUCUGCAGUGCAAAAGGUUGACUAACAGUUGGAAAAAUAACAAUUCCAUACAUAUAAAGGAGAACCAUAUACAUACAUACACUCACCAACAUCACGUUUCUUAGAUUUAGUGCUCCUUUGGUAUUGAAACACAGAUAUUAAUUACAAUUACCCUUCUAAUUGCAGUGAUGAUAUCAAUAUCAGAGUUAUUUUUUUAUUUAUUAAUCUUUCUUAUAUAGGCAUUAAUCUGACACCUACUCAGCAAAAAGAGCUUUCAAGUUUCAAGUUUUGCUUAUUCCAAAGUCCAAUGCAUCUAAAUAGUUUUAUUUUUUUAAAAGAAAUAUAAUAGUAUUGAUUCAUAAUUAAUCCUAACUUAUAGAACAAGAUAAUUUUUUUGAGAUCAGUGGUAAAGUAUAAAUCUAGCGUUGUCAGACCGCUGUUAGAUUAAGAUGUAUAAAAAAAUAGAUAAAUAAAUAAUAUCUAAAUAAUUUUUAAUUUUUAUUGCAAUUACAAUAUAACACACUUUUUGAAUAAUUUGAUAGUACAUUAUAUAAAUUGAAUAUAAAGAAAUCCCACAUGAGGAAAGUCCAAAAAAAUGUUUUCUUUCCCAUGUGAGCCUAGUGAUCUUGUCCUAAAUCAAUACACUAAACAUAUAUGAACUUGUGGGUAACUUGUCAGUAAUGUCUUCAAGCAACCAUUUAACAGAAGAUCAUCAAUCGAUCAAGAAUCAAUAAUGAUUAUUAUGAAUUAAUGGACAAAAAGAAUGGAGAAAUCCUGGAUUUUGAGGAAAUGAACUAUUCUGCAAAGCUCCACAGACGAAAAUCGUCUUCGAAAAAAUCAUCGAUCAUCAUCGGUGGAGGAUUGAACGACGAAGCAGCCCCAUUAUUGAUGAACAUUUGAUCAAGAAACUUGGGUGACGAAAGUUGAUCGUCAAAGUUAUACCAUGAAUACUCAUCAUGACUAUAUGUCCCAAAAGACUGCAUUAGCGACACAUCAUCAUAUACAUCUAGUUGAUCACACGAUGAUGGGGAUGAUAUGGAUGAUGAUGAUGAUGAUGAUGAUGGGGAUUGUAAGGAAGAAGGCUGAGGUGGCGAUGAUACUGGUGUGGUUGCGGUGGUGGCAGUUGCGGUUGCAUUGUCUGUAAAACUAUUAGCGGCAGCAGCAGCAAUUCUUUGAAUAGAUUUAGGUGACAUAACGGUGUCAGGAAUGUAAUGAGAGGAAGUGAUAGGAAAGUUAAGGUUAGCUGAAGAGCCUUUAAGACAUAAAAGUGCAGCAUCAUAUGCUCUAGCUGCAGCUUCAGCAGUAGAAUAAGAGCCUAACCAAAUUCUCGUUUUCUGAUUUGGUGCUCUUAUUUCUGAUACCCAAGAACCCCAGCUUCUCAUUCUCACUCCUUUGUAUUUCUUUUUUGUCGAUGCUGAAGAUGAAGGAGAUGUUGCCAUUGGCUUUGCUGAUGUUUCUGAUUGGAUCUUCUGCUCACUCUUCACCA
rnacentral:lncRNA from 1 species